UCUGUUCUUCCAACUCCCACUGAGACAAAACAUUGAAUCCACCAAGUGGGAAUAAAAUCAAACUCUGGAAAGGUUUCCUGACCAUGGAAUUGGAACCCAUGAAAUAAGGAAUUGUCAGGCCAGCUAGAGGCAAAAUGCAUCAGAAACUGGGUGGGAUGAAGGAAAAUGGAGCUCAGCCAGCUCAAGCCCCAACAUCAGCUGGAGAGAGAUGAUGUGAGGUGCCAGGCAGCAGCUGAAAGCAGGCACUGCCACAGAAGAAAGUCUGGGAGUCUGGCCUUCAGCAGCUCCAGCCCCUCACCAGCAGGAAUCAAGACAAGCCCAUGGCCUACUCGGUGGCCUUGGCAGCUGGGUGCAGAAGUAGCCCCAGAACUCAGGAAAUGCUGGGUGGAGAUGGAGAUCAGUGCCCCCAGGGUCAGACAGAACACACCAGGAGGUACCACUCUUUAACCUUGGCCCAGCCCAACUCUUUGAUUCACCCAAAGACCUGGGUUGGAGUCUUUCAUGAGAAAUGCAAUUCACUUCUCAAGCCUCAG